rnacentral:rRNA from 1 species
GCAGCGCCACGGGAAUACGGAGGGUGCAAGCGUUAAUCGGAAUUACUGGGCGUAAAGCGCACGCAGGCGGUCUGACAAGUCAGAUGUGAAAUCCCCGGGCUUAACCUGGGAACUGCAUUUGAAACUGUCAGGCUGGAGUCUUGUAGAGGGGGGUGGAAUUCCAGGUGUAGCGGUGAAAUGCGUAGAGAUCUGGAGGAAUACCGGUGGCGAAGGCGGCCCCCUGGACAAAGACUGACGCUCAGGUGCGAAAGCGUGGGGAGCAAACAGGAUUAGAUACCCGAGUAGUCCCUGUCUCUUAUACA